UACACGAUGCCCUUGCUCCGUGUAAGAGCCGCUCUCCUUCCAGAGCGAGAGGGGCACGACCCGAAGGGAGGGAUUCCCUCCACGUGUACCCGGUACCCCAGACCCGAGGGUCUGGACUUGGGAGCGUGAACUCUCAACCCAAGUCUGCCCAGUCCCUCGGUCCCUCUCUGAAGCCCGGAAUCCCCGCUGUCCAGUGCCUCGGCCCUGGCUGGGGAGCGGGCGGUCGACUAGCCGGAAGGGUCGGGCGGAUGGAGCCUCGGAGCAGCCAGAGAGUGGUGUACGGCCCCGCGGAAGGUUUAGUCCCCGCCGCCCGUGUAGACCCGAGCGGCUGCAGCUUUCCGUGUGUCCGGAAACCUGAGAUCUCUACCUGGAGCUCUGGAGGCGAGACGGCUCCGUGCCUCGGCAGGGAUCGGAACGCAGGGCUCGAGCGACCACAGUUCUGGGUGUGAGACAGAGACCGAGGGAAAAGCAAAGCGUGCGGUUGAAGGGAGGGCGUGCUUGAAGGGGACUGGGAAAGAUCCUCUCUGGGUCCAAACGGAGCCUCCGGCUUGUGAGAACCCCUAGCCAGGUUCUAGAUUAAGGGCUGGGGGUGGGCCAUUUUGGCCCGGGGCCCUCCCUAUGAGCCCCUGGACGCUCGGAGCCCCUCACUCACCCAGGCCUCCCGCUCUCCCCAAAGCCCCCUUCAGCGUGUCUGUCUGAAAGGUGUACAAUUGGCCCUUCAAGAGGUGGGCGUGGGCUCGAUUAGCAUUUGCCAGGAGUCCCGCGUGUGGGAUUUGCAUACUGAUUUGCAUACAGUAAUAAUGAUUAACAACAGUGCCACUCCCUGGCAGAGCGGGGAAGAAUUCAGGGAAGGCCUUGGCAUUGCUUCCACCUUCCUCCUCCCUUCCCUCAGGGGAAGAGCUAAUUUUCUCCUUAUUGCUCUGACCCCUGGGAAUUCCUCUGACUCUGGGUGGGCAGGUGCAGGGAGGGGCAGUUUUCCCUCAGCCCUCGGGCCCCAAGUCCAACUUGGGAGAGGUAAACCCAGUACUUUAUUUCUGCCCAGCUUUGAACUCCCCGGCUUUCCCGUCUUUGUUUUGCAUCUUGUAGGUAGCUCAGGGGCGGACCCUGCCCUAGAGUGUGGAGGUUUCCAGGAACAGUUAGCUGGGGGCAUUUUCCUCCUCCAGUACCUCUAACGCACUCACACACUUGGCCCCAUUCCUCGCAGGCUCACAGCCCAUCAUGUAAGUGUAACCUACACUCUCCUUCCUGUUGAGAAGAUCUAGAGGAAAAUGGGAAAGACUUGAAUUUCUAGUCUAGGUCAGUGUGGUUUUAUUUACAAGCCCUUCUCACCACCAGGUGACCUGGAAAAUAAGAGAGCAAGUAAUAAGCAGAAGGGAGGUCCCUUGACUUAGCAGCUGAAGGAGCCGUUGCCCGCGGAUCUGCCCUCCCUCUAGCUCCCACCCUCUCUGGCAUCUUUCCCGCACUCCUGGCCUCGCCUUUCCCCUCUCUGCCUCUGGCCUGGCCUGGCCGGGAUUCUCACUUGUUUUCCCCCAUGACACGGCCGCUUUUCCUUUAACUCUGGGCUUCUAUUUAAAAAGCUAAUUUGGGAGCUUGUUCAUGCUCCCAAUUCAGAUAUUUUAAAUAGGAACUGGAAGUUGCCAGGGCACUAGAAUUCCUUCCCUUGCCACCGCCACAGCUAAGGCGUUUGUUCCUCAACUGGCCCUGGCCGUGUGCGCGUGUGGUGGAGGGAGCGCAAGCGAGCUCAGGAUAUAUUUCAGGCUCUCUUUUCUAUUUAAAGACGGUGCUCCUGUGGACGGCUGUGCUCUGUGUGUGUGUCCUUUCCAAGCUGUGCACACAUGAGGAUUCUUCUUUAGUCCCAUGGCUCUGGCCGCUAUUUGCAGAGCUUGUCACAGUGUGGACUGUGGGUCUAAGAGGCAGCCCAACUCCAAGUCUGUAGCCUCCAGGUUUGCUGACUUGCCGGGCCGGUGUGUCUGCGCAGGGAUUUCCCUGGGCUGCUCUGCUAGGCUUGCUUUUAGAAGCUGUGCCUCAGAAUGUCCAGAAAGGUUGCUUUUGCUGCUUGUGGCUGGUCUGCUUCAACAAUUUGCCCCUUGACGAGGCAGGAAUUUGGAGGGUGGCUGACUUUCUACAUUCUGGGUGCCGUGUAUCUUGGAGGUAAAAAAAAACAGACUUGGAACGCAGAUUGCCUAAAUUUAAACCUGCCUCUGCUAUUUACUGGCUCUGUGAUCUAUUUAACCUCUCUGUGCCUUGAUUACCUCAUCUCUAAAAUGGCAAUAAAUAGUACUGUCUACUUUAUAAGGCCUUGUGGAGAAAAAUAAUUAUCGCAGGUAAAGCACUUAGAACAAUGCCUGGAACAUAGGAAGUACAGUGUAAUUGCUGGUUGUCCCUGGAGUUCAAGGCAAGAGUGGUGGGAGCAGGAAGUGUGAAAUCUGCCUGGGCAGGAAGGUGGAACCGCUGGACCGUACCCACAGACACAGGCAGACACACAUUUCCUUGCAUGUAAUAGUAACAAUGCCAGGCCACAGCCCAUAAUGGGUCAAGUUCCCUGGUUGAGGUGGUUGAUUCCUUAAGCCCCCAAAGGGGGAGACCUCUGCUGAUGAAUAGAGGAAGAGCCACAGGACUGGGGUUAAAGAAGGGGCUGGACCAUGUCAGACAGAGGCCUGUGGGGCAUUUCCUGAGGGCCUGUUUUAUGCAGGAGGAGUAAAUAAGGACCCUAGAUCCCCACAUGGCCCCAGCUUCCCUUCUUUCCCUAAAUAUGUAGAGUAAGGCUUUAUGGAAGCGGAGCUGCAGUGGGGGCUGAGUAGGGGCGGCCCUUCAUUCUCACUGAGCCUCCCUCCCCUUGGGCUUGGGGUUCUCUGGCUUUGAUCCCGCCAUUGCCACCUACCCCUUAUUCCCACAGCUGGGCAUAUGAGCGUUUACUCAGUGGCCAUCAGAGUUUAUUUUGCCUCUGUCCCCCAGCAUUGAAUUAAGGUACAGAGAGCUUUAGCGGCUUCCCCAAGGUGUUGCAGUGGGCGAUUCAGGAAGCCGCUAACAGGAGGGGGCGCUCUAAAGGACCAAACAUAGGAAGGCUCCAGGGGAGCCAAGGCAGCUUGGCAGGUCUUUGGAUUGUAUCAGGCUUAACAUAGCCACCUGAGGGUGAGGUGCCGCCAUAGUCUGACUCCUUGCUGGGUCUCCAUGACCCUGUCCGCACCACCAUUUUGUAGACAGAAAAACCAACGGUGCUUCAUGCAUCCCAGGCCAAACAUCUGGAGUGAACGCUCCCUUUUGACAACCCCCCCCCCCCACCAACAAGCUGCUGGAGUUCUGCUCUUUUGAGAGUAGAGUGGCCGCCUCAGUCAGAUAGAGGGUCUGCCCUAAGACCCUCUUGACCUGGCUCUGUUGGCCUCUCCUUUGGUUGGCCUCUGGAGGUUGGGCAUGGGGUCAGGGCUUAUUGUGUCCGGCUGGGGCUGUACCUUCUGAGUUUCCUCCAGGGUGAAGUCUUCCUGAGGAGCCCAAAGCUUGCUGGUGCCUGGGCUGCCUCUUAUUUCCCAAGGUGAGGAGGUUGGUGGUAGAGUUCACGCUGAGGUGCUCUGCCCAGUCUCAGGGGCCAGGGGUGCAUCUGUGGGGAUCAGCCCAGAUUGUCCAGCGUGGCCAGGCCAGAAUGUACCGUCCAACACUGGUGGCCCUGAUGGCUGGACACCCACAACCAUCAGAUGCUUUGGUCCUUCCUGAGGGAGUGGAGGAAGCUUCCCUUCCUGCAGCACUAACCCCAUUUGGAGGGCCAACCGUUGUCUGAGUGGUCAUUGCACUAACCAAAAUGUUUAGACUAGUGAUGGCAAAUGAGAAGUUGUUAAAGAAGGCUCUGCAAGCAAACCCUUCCAGGGGACCUGCUCCAGCCAGGCAGAUCCCUGGGGACCGGGUGGGGGGCCUUACAGGUGAAGGCAGGGGGUGUUCCCUUCGUCAGGACUUCCCUCAUUGGGAGAUGUCAGGCGAGGGAAGAGGAGGGAAGGGGAGCAGGAGAGCAGGUAUGACAAGGGGAACACAGGCACUGGAAGGAAAAAAGUACUAUUUAUCUGUUCAGUUUUUUGCUAGUGAUAAUUUGGAGGAAGGUUGGUGGAGGCCGAAGGUGCAGAUCAUAGGUGCUAUGAUUGCUCUGCUCUCCCCUGGAGGCUCUUUUUGUUUGCACACUGAUAUUUCCUGGGGCUCUGUCCUUUGUCUUCUCUGCUUCUCCAUCUGCCCCUUUCCCUGGAAAGUUGAGGGGAGCCCUUGGUUUCAAGCUCAUUCAGGUGUUGACUGUUCCUUCCUGAGUGCACCCUAACUCCUAGCCAUCUCCUGGCAUCUUCAUCCUUGUACACAGGCACCCCUUUGCUUCAUCUUACCUCUCCCCUUCAACCUUCUCCAACAGAUCGUUUCCUGUAAAACCCUGUUCUCAUUGUGUCAUCUCCUGUACUUCCUUUGUCGCUUUACCUUCUUCCAUGGUCACACAUUCCCUUCUUUCCAGCAGGCAGACUUUUCUCUGCUACUUGACCAGAUCACAUCAUUUCUCGCCUUCAUGCCUUUGUACAUGCUAUACCAUCUUCCAGAAAUGCCCUCCAUCACUUCCUAUUUCCUUCUCUUUUCCUAGCAAAUUUCCACUCAGCCCCGGACCUUCAAUACCCAGCCCAAAGGUCACAUAAGACAUAUUGGUAAAUUUCAGUGUCACACCCGAGGAGGAUUAACUAUUACCCACUUGGGCUCCCACAGUUCUUCCUGCAUGCCUCAGAGAGUUCUUAUUACCUUAUUACCUUGGUUUUUUGCAUGGCAGCCCCCAUCUCUGGUUUUAAGCCAUUUAAGGAAGGACCACAUCUUAGACACUUCUGAAUGUUCUAACUCAGGGCUCGGUGCAAUGUGGAUGCUCAAUAACUUUGCAUUAGGAAUUUAUUUUAACUUUCAUUUGCAUGGCUCCCUUGAUGGUGUGUAACUGAGGAAUACGUGGUAAAUUUGUCAACUGAUCAGUCUCAAGGUCCUAUCUGAUUGAAUGGAAGCACUGUCAUGAGUUCAGAGAGGAAGGAUGAGGGUUUCAAUUUUUGGCUGAUCCCAGGUGAAAAAAGGCCCAAAGCCCCUCUCCUCCAACCUUUCCAGAUCUACAAAGAAAACCUCAGUCGAUGCUGCCUGCAGAGACCUGGCCAGUGUUCUGCUCUUGAAUCAGUUUGGUUUCUAGGGAACUCUUUUCUUUCCUUUCUGGCAGAAUGUCAAUCACUUCCCCAGAAUAUCACCUCCUUGGGAACAGCCAGGAUGCAGUUGGUGGAAAUGUACCUGGGCUGCUGGCAGCUGUGACUGUGCUCACCAUAAAACCCAGCGACAGGGCCCAUCAAAAACAUGUUAGCCAAAACCUAGGCUUGGCACAAAGAGAUGCCAAGACCAAAGCUUGCUGGACUUUUAAGUAUAAAAUUAUGUGUAAGCCACAUCAGGAAACCUGUGACAGUGGAGGCUUAGUGGUGAGAACAUGGGCUCAGGACAGAUCUGGCUUUAAAUCUUGACUCUACAAGCUGUGUGACUUUGGGCAAGUUACUUUACUUCUCUGAUCUUCAGUUACCUCACCUAUAAAAUGAAUUAUAGUGAUGGUCUUGACUCAUAGGGUUCAUGAGGAUUGAAUUAGAUAAUGCACAUAACGUUUCAUAUGUAUUUAUAAAUAAAAACAUUGGCCAUUAAAUCAUUUUGUAACUGACCUUAAAAGUGUUUGAAACUAGCUCUUUUAAGUCAAAGGCAGAGUGCUUGUUCAUGAAGAAGUUCAGAUAGGUCACUCGAGGUCUUUCCAUGUGGUUAUUCUCAUACCAAGGGAAAUGUGUGAGAUCAGAGAAAUUUGUGUCUAGACACCUUUUUUUCUAUUGGCUCCUCUCUCCAUUCUGUGGCACCCAUGUCUGCAGCCUUGAACUUCAAGGGCCCAUUUCUCUCCAUUCCCUCCUCAUCAGCAAGAACUGAUAAAUCAUUUAAACUAUCCUGCCUAGAGAUAUGGUAUUCACAUUUUAACAGGAUAAUGAAAGCCAAGGCCAUGAAAUAGAGCGGGUGGGAUUUCAUGCAUCCAAUGGAGAAACAAGGAAGGGGUGCUUUUUUAAAAUUUAUUUUAUUGACAUAUAUUUGUUUUACAAUGUUGUGUUAAUUUCUGCUGUAUAGCAAAGAAUAUAUAUAUAUUCUUUUUCAUAUUCUUUUCCAUUAUGGCUUAUCACAGGAUAUUGAACAUAAUUUUUCUGUGCUGUAUGCUGCGUGAGGUCUGACCAUCACUGGUGCUCAAAAAUGCUUGUGGAAAGAACUAGCACAUCCCUGAGGUAGCCCAGACACUCCUUCUCUGGCCCCGGGAAAAGGUUCUUUGAAUCACCGAAGAGGAUCAUCUCUGCCUUCUUUGGACACAUGGCAAAUAAAACCCACACACUCACGAGAUGAGAGUUCCAGCUUUAGGGAAGGCAACAGUUCUUUUGGGCUGAAGAUCACAGACUUGUUUAUCAUCUUCGGGGGUAAAAUGAACAGGUGCAUGAGACCCUCCAGGGUUCUGUCCUUCCUGAGAUUCUCCAGGUUGACCACAGCUGGCUGACCACAGCUGGCAGGCCCGCAUAAAAUCCCCAGAGAACAAGGCCGUUGGUCAUUGGCCUGGCAGCCCAUACAGUUCCUCUGGGUUUCUGACUGGCUUCUGGAGCAGGAGGGGACUGACCACUAUGACCCAGCUUGUCAGCCUCCUGGGAAUCUUCUCUGCCUGCCUUAGACUGGUGCCUCGACCUGGAAAAGUGCUCAUAGCAGAGAAAUGGACAAGGGCCAGAAGGAGCAGGAAUUGUCAUCACAUCCUCAUCAUCAUGAAAUUGAUACCGAUAGCAAUGAUGCAGUGGCAACAGACUCUUGCCUGGCAUUUAAUAAGUGCUACUCACUAUGCUAACGCCUUAUAAGCAUUCUUCUUUUUUUUUUUUUUCCAGUCCUUACAGCACUCUUAUGAGCAGCUACUGUCAUCCCCAUUUAUCAGAUGAAAAAAACCAAGGCACAGAAAAUCUUCAGCAAUUUGCUCAAGAUCAUUAGUUGAGUUGGGAUUUAACACCAAAGAAUCUGACUCCAGAGCUCCUAGCCUUCAAUGUUACUCCAUGGAGAGGUGCAGAAGGCCAGCUGGUACCCUGCCCAUCCAUGGAAGGACACGGUAGAAAAUGAGAGGCCAGCAGAAGGCCAGCACCUGUUCAGUGCUCUAACCCCCGCCCCCACCCAGGUCUCUCCAGCUCCCAGCAGGGAAGACCACCUGCUCCUCGGCAGGUUGGAGUGCUGAGGAGUCCCAGAAAGUGCAGAUGGGGGGGGGUGUUGGGUAGACGAGCUGGGGUGCCCCUUCCCCUAACCCUGCCCUGGUCUCACAAAUAACGGCCUUUGGAUUACUGCCUGUGUUGGAUGCCUGGAUCACUGCUGUCUGGAGUCUAAUCUCCAUUCUGGUGGUUUUGGUUGCUAUGGUAAUUGAAUUCACUUAAAGUUGUCUCCAAGCUA